GGCGUCAUAGCUCAGUUGGGAGAGCAGCAGACUGAAGCGUGACUAAGGCGUGCCCGCUUACGUAAGUUCAUCUGAAGGUCCCGUGUUCAAGCCACGGUGAUGCCA